GGUACCUUGACAAACUUCUACAACUCCUAUAUAAUUGCUAUUGAUUUCCAAAUUCUAAUCGUAAUCCUAUAAUAACUACUUUUAAUAAUUGAAUCAAUCAUCUAUUCUCUUAAAUUGACUAUUCUAUGGACUAUUAAUCUAUAAUAUCUUACAAAAACAAACUGAUAUCUAUUCUACAUAGCCCCACUCCUAUCUCUGCAGUGUCCUCGCAAACACAUAAUUGAUUCCUAUCUAAAAACUACUUAACAAAACUCUACAAAAUUA
rnacentral:lncRNA from 1 species